rfam:Nitrospirae bacterium RBG_13_39_12 RBG_13_scaffold_8734, whole genome shotgun sequence.
CUGAACGUUGAGGGAUCAACGUUGACCGCAGGGGAGAAGUCAGCAGAGGGCAUAUUAGUCCUGCUCUGCAGGAUGAAGGCC